rnacentral:rRNA from 1 species
CGGCAACAGCUCAAAUUUGAAAUCUGGCCUUUGGUCCGAAUUGUAAUUUGUAGAGGAUGCUUUUGGUGAGGUUCUUUCCGAGUUCCCUGGAACGGGACGCCUUAGAGGGUGAGAGCCCCGUACGGUUGGAUACCUAGCCUCUGUAAAGCUCCUUCGAC